GCUAAGCCUUUAACAUUGAUAGUACACUGUACCCCACUAUCCGCCAGAGAACUACAAGUGAAAAACUUUAAACUCAAAGGACUUGGCGGUGUCCCAUACCGACCUAGAGGAGCCUGUCCUAUAAUCGAUACCCCUCGUUCCACCCAACCUCUACUGGCAACCACAGCCUAUAUACCGCCGUCGACAGUCUACCCCAUGAGGGUCCAACAGUAGACAUAAUAGCCCACCCACUAAUACGUCAGGUCAAGGUGUAGCACAUGUUGAGGAAGAGAUUGGCUACAUUUUUUAUUAUAAAAAACACGAAAUGCAACAUGAAACCCUGCAUGAAGGUGAAUUUAGUAGUAAGAUCAAACAAGAGUGUUUAUCUUAACAUCGCUGUG
rnacentral:rRNA from 1 species